rnacentral:snRNA from 1 species
UAGCAUAGCCCCUGCCUAAACAAUAAAAUUGGAACGAUACAGAAAAAAUUAACAUAACCCCUGCCCAAAAAUGACACACACAAAUAAAGUACUUUUAUUAU